rnacentral:lncRNA from 1 species
GGCAAUGCCAAUUUUUCACCAAAACUUGAGUAAAAACCUAACAACUCCGAGCUUGGUAGAGACCCUGUUUCAAGAGCAAAAAGGAAGAAGGGAGAAGAAGAAGAUGGGUAAUGUUCUCCUACCGUUAAAACUCUCCCGCACUUGUCUGCCUUUGGAGAUUUCUGUGCCAAAUUCAACAGUUAAGACUUUGGUGAUGGGAAAGAUGACGCUUUUCUUGUCCUCUUUGUGUAUGUUCAGCUGUGUGUCCAUGCACACUUGUGUAUCCGUGAAAUGCAUGUUUGUGCGCAUGCAUGAGUAAGCCUGAUGUCAGUCUCAGGUUUAAUUCUUCAGGAGCUAUGUAUCAUGUUUUUCUUAAAGGCAGUGAUUCUUACUGGAACCUGGGGCUUGCCCAUUAGGCUAUGCUGGUUGGCCAGUGAACCCCAGGGAUCCACCUGUUCCCACUUGCCCACUGCUUAGAUUCACCAACCAUCACACCAGACGUUUUACAUGGGUAAUAGGGAUUGAAGUCAGGUUCAAAUGUUUACACGGGAUGAACUUUUCCUGAGUGGGCCGUCUCUGUAGCCCCACCAUGGGACACUUCACUUAUCCUUUUUAUUCACCAUCAAAUGUAUAUAUAUUUUUUCUGAAAAUAUUAGCCUUUUGCAUUUGACAUGUAUUGCCAGAGAAGUCACAGGGUAGAAUUCUGUAGCCAUCUAUCAAGGCUUGAGGAG